rnacentral:rRNA from 1 species
UCGGGAAUUUUGGGCAAUGGGCGAAAGCCUGACCCAGCAACGCCGCGUGAAGGAUGAAGUAUUUCGGUAUGUAAACUUCGAAAGAAUAGGAAGAAUAAAUGACGGUACUAUUUGUAAGGUCCGGCUAACUACGUGCCAGCAGCCGCGGUAAUACGUAGGGACCAAGCGUUGUUCGGAUUUACUGGGCGUAAAGGGCGCGUAGGCGGUGUGUCAAGUCAGUUGUGAAAUCUCCGAGCUUAACUCGGAACGGUCAACUGAUACUGUCACACUAGAGUACAGAAGGGGCAAUCGGAAUUCUUGGUGUAGAGGUGAAAUUCGUAGAUAUUAGGAAGAACACCAGUGGCGAAGGCGGCCAACUGGCUCGAUACUGACGCUGAGGUGCGAAAGCGUGGGGAGCAAACAGGAUUAGAUACCCAAGUAGUCCCUGAGCGGGCUGGCAAGGCGCAU